AUUCAAAAUUCAAACCGUAUACAUAUAUAACCUACAUUAUUCUGACUCCACGUUCAAAAUUCAAACCAUAAAUCAAUCCACAUCUCUCUCAAAUCCAGAGCUCCCAAUUCAAACCAUAAAGUGGCCGGCUGAAAUCGUGAGUUCUUCGGUGACCGAGCGGAGUUUAUAAAUGCGACCAGAUUAAUUUCAUAUUCUAAUCAUCUAAAGAUAGAAGAGCUCCUUCCUUUUGAAGAUAGAAGAGCUCCUUACUUAUUUUAUCACCAUCAUCUCAUCUCAUCUCAUUUUCUUCAUUACAUUUCAGAUUCUAAAACUCAACAACUCGAUUUUCUGCAUCAGAUUCUGAUCAAAUUGUGAAGUCUUCAUGGCGAUGAAAUCAACAGGACAACGCCAUCGUUUCGAUCAUCUGCUUCCAGAUUGAGUUGGUGUUUAUUGUUGAUAUCCGGACUGAUAAGAAGAAGAUUAAAGCUGCUGUUAAGAAGAUGUAUGAUAUUCAAACUAAGAAGGUUAAUACUUUGAUCAGUCUAAUGUUAGAAUAGAGAAAAGACGAAAACCAGACCCUCAAUAUGUUUUUGCUGAGGCAGCGACAUAGUGGACCGUUUUGAUUGUUCUCGCAAAGGCCAGCCUUUCAUUCAAUUCGAGUUUUAUGUUUUAAAUAUAAAAAAUGGUUGAAGAUGAAAGGUUCAAAGAGGUUAAAAGUCGCCUAACCCGUUUUCAAAUGUUUGCAAUGUCAGAAAGGGAACUCUUUACCAUUCGAGUUUGUGUGGUUGUGAAUUGUGACCCAUGGAAGAGAAAAAUAAGUUUUGAAGUGAUCAAAACUUGCAACUCGAUUAUAGUUUUUAUUAUAGACGGUCGGACUAAUGGCAUUGACUUAGUAAUGGUGCUGAUUGGUGAGUGGCCAAAAUGGCAGUAAAAAAGAAGGGAGGGUCUUUUCUUGAAGCUCCGGUCUCAGGUAGCAAAAAACCAGCUGAAGCUGAAGACGGACAAUUAGUAAUCCUUUCUGCUGGGGACAAAGGGCUGUAUGAUGCAAUUCUUUCUGCGUUUGACGUUUUGGGGAAGAAGUAUUUUUUCUUGGGAGAGGUUGGAAAUGGAGCGAAUAUGAAACUUAUAAUUUUUAUUGAUUAUGUUUAUGAGUUUGAUAUGUGUAAAAGUGUAUUAAACAACUUAUAACUAUAAUAAGUAUUUUUAAAGUCGUA